rnacentral:rRNA from 1 species
UUGGAUGAGUUGCGAACGGGUGAGUAACGCGUAGGUAACCUGCCUGGUAGCGGGGGAUAACUAUUGGAAACGAUAGCUAAUACCGCAUAAAAUUGAUUAUUGCAUGAUAAUUAAUUGAAAGAUGCAAUUGCAUCACUACCAGAUGGACCUGCGUUGUAUUAGCUAGUUGGUGAGGUAACGGCUCACCAAGGCGACGAUACAUAGCCGACCUGAGAGGGUGAUCGGCCACACUGGGACUGAGACACGGCCCAGACUCCUACGGGAGGCAGCAGUAGGGAAUCUUCGGCAAUGGGGGGAACCCUGACCGAGCAACGCCGCGUGAGUGAAGAAGGUUUUCGGAUCGUAAAGCUCUGUUGUAAGAGAAGAACGGGUGUGAGAGUGGAAAGUUCACACUGUGACGGUAUCUUACCAGAAAGGGACGGCUAACUACGUGCCAGCAGCCGCGGUAAUACGUAGGUCCCGAGCGUUGUCCGGAUUUAUUGGGCGUAAAGCGAGCGCAGGCGGUUAGAUAAGUCUGAAGUUAAAGGCUGUGGCUUAACCAUAGUAUGCUUUGGAAACUGUUUAACUUGAGUGCAGAAGGGGAGAGUGGAAUUCCAUGUGUAGCGGUGAAAUGCGUAGAUAUAUGGAGGAACACCGGUGGCGAAAGCGGCUCUCUGGUCUGUAACUGACGCUGAGGCUCGAAAGCGUGGGGAGCAAACAGGAUUAGAUACCCUGGUAGUCCACGCCGUAAACGAUGAGUGCUAGGUGUUAGGCCCUUUCCGGGGCUUAGUGCCGCAGCUAACGCAUUAAGCACUCCGCCUGGGGAGUACGACCGCAAGGUUGAAA